AACGAACGCUGGCGGCGUGGAUAAGACAUGCAAGUUGAACGGGACCAUCCCGGUUGGCAACAAUCGGGGGGUUCAGUAGCGAACGGGUGCGUAACACGUGGGAAUCUGCCUGGAAGAGGGGGAUAGCUCGCCGAAAGGCGAAUUAAUACCGCAUAUUAACAAAGCGGGGGACCGUAAGGCCUCGCACUUCCAGAUGAGCCCGCGUCCUAUCAGCUAGUUGGUGAGGUAAUGGCUCACCAAGGCUUUGACGGUAGCUGGUCUGAGAGGACGACCAGCCACACUGGGACUGAGACACGGCCCAGACACCUACGGUGGCAGCAGUCGAGAAUUUUUCACAAUGGGGGGCAACCCUGAUGGAGCGACGCCGCGUGGAGGAUGAAGGGCUUCGGCUCGUAAACUCCUGUCACCCCAGACAAAUACGAUCCGGUGAACAUCCGGA
rnacentral:rRNA from 1 species